rnacentral:rRNA from 1 species
GACGAACGCUGGCGGCGUGCCUAAUACAUGCCAGUUGAGCGAUGAAGAUUGGUGCUUGCACCAAUUUGAAGAGCAGCGAACGGGUGAGUAACGCGUGGGGAAUCUGCCUUUGAGCGGGGGACAACAUUGGGAAACGAAUGCUAAUACCGCAUAACAACUUUAAACAUAAGUUUUAAGUUUGAAAGAUGCAAUUGCAUCACUCAAAGAUGAUCCCGCGUUGUAUUAGCUAGUUGGUGAGGUAAAGGCUCACCAAGGCGAUGAUACAUAGCCGACCUGAGAGGGUGAUCGGCCACAUUGGGACUGAGACACGGCCCAAACUCCUACGGGAGGCAGUAGUAGGGAAUCUUCGGCAAUGGACGAAAGUCUGACCGAGCAACGCCGCGUGAGUGAAGAAGGUUUUCGGAUCGUAAAACUCUGUUGGUAGAGAAGAACGUUGGUGAGAGUGGAAAGCUCAUCAAGUGACGGUAACUACCCAGAAAGGGACGGCUAACUACGUG